AGUGGCGGACGGGUGAGUAACGCGUGGGUAACCUACCUCAUACAGGGGGAUAACAGUUGGAAACGACCGCUAAUACCGCAUAACCCGCUAGUAUCGCAUGAUACGGACGGAAAAGAUUUAUCGGUAUGAGAUGGACCCGCGUCUGAUUAGCCAGUUGGCAGGGUAACGGCCUACCAAAGCAACGAUCAGUAGCCGGCCUGAGAGGGUGAACGGCCACAUUGGGACUGAGACACGGCCCAAACUCCUACGGGAGGCAGCAG
rnacentral:rRNA from 1 species